AAUCAACGCUGGCGGCGUGCCUCAGACAUGCAAGUCGAACGAGAAGGCUCCUUCGGGAGCCGGACAGUGGCGCACGGGUGAGUAACACGUGGGUAAUUUACCUUCGGGUGGGGAACAACAGCCGGAAACGGCUGCUAAUACCGCAUAAUGCAGCGGCACCUAAUGGUGACAGUUGUUAAAGCGGGGGAUCGCAAGACCUCGCGCCUGAAGAGAAGCCUGCGGCGGAUUAGGAGUUGGUGGGGUAAGUGGCUCACCAAGCCUGCGAUCUGUAGCCGGCCUGAGAGGGCGGUCGGCCACACUGACACUGAACAACGGGUCAGACUCCUACGGGAGGCAGCAGUCGGGAAUUUUGGGCAAUGGGCGAAAGCCUGACCCAGCAACGCCGCGUGAAGGAU
rnacentral:rRNA from 1 species